GAAGGGAGAGGGAAGAAAAGGAAUGAUUAGGAGGGGAAGGGGGGGAGAAGGAAUGGCUAGGAAGGGAGAGGGGAGAAAAGAAAUGAUUAGGAGGGGCAGUGAUGGAAGGAGAUAAGAAUGGUUAGGAGGGGAAGGGGGGGAGAAGGAAUGGCUAGGAAGGGAGAGGGGAGAAAAGGAAUGAUUAGGAGGGGCAGUGAUGGGAGGAGAUAAGAAUGAUUAGGAGGGGAGAUGAAGGGAAGACUGUAUGUGAAAAGGGAUGGUUAGAAAGUAGAAAGGGUGUGUUGAGGAGGGAGAGGAGUUUGAAGAAAUAGGAGGGAGGAAAAUAUAAUGAGUGGUAGGUUUAGGGAAAGGAAAGGAAGGUAGAGAGGAAGAGGAAGAAAUAGGAGGGAGGAAAAUAUAAUGAGCAGGGGGUUUAGGGAAAGGAAAGGAAGGUAGAGAGGAAGAGGAAGAAAUAGGAGGGAGGAAAAUAUAAUGAGCAGGGGGUUUAGGGAAAGGAAAGAAAGGUAGAGAGGAAGAGGAAUAAAUAGAAGGGAGGAAAAUAUAAUGAGCAGGGGGUGUAGGGAAAGGAAAGGAAGAUAAAGAGGAAGGAAGGUGCUUAAGGAAAGGAAAGGUAGGAGGGAAGUAAGGAGGAAAAGGUGUAUUGAAAUAGGGGGAUGUACCUUUGCUGGGUGCCAUGGGAAGGUGUCUAGCUCAUCUGCUGUAGAAUUAAAGCUAAUGUGAGUAUUUAACCCGGUAGCAGUGACGGGCCAAAUUUGUGGCUUUACCGUGUAGCAGCGACAGGUCAAAUUUGUGGCUUUACCGUGUAGCAGCGACAGGUCAAAUUUGUGGCUUUACCAUGUAGCAGCGACAGGUCAAAUUUGUGGCUUUACCGUGUAGCAGCGACAGGUCAAAUUUGUGGCUUUACCGUGUAGCAGCGACGGGUCAAAUUUGUGGCUUUACCGUGUAGCAGCGACGGGUCAAAUUUGUGGCUUUACCGUGUAGCAGCGACGGGUUAAAUUUGUGGCUUUACCGUGUAGCAGCGACGGGCCAAAUUUGUGGCUUUACCGUGUAGCAGCGACAGGUCAAAUUUGUGGCUUUACCGUGUAGCAGCGACGGGCCAAAUAUGUGCCAUGAUUUAAACCCCCCAAAAUAGAUGAUACAUAAACUGAUCACAAACGCUUUGAUAUAUAUCAUGAAAUGGUUUGUGUGAGUGAUGAUUUUUUCUCGUUUUGCUUGCUUAGAGGGACCAUUAAGAAACAUGAUCCCCGCUGCUACUGGGUUAAAAAGAAUCUAGUAGGCUUAAUAAUCUGCAUGAUAGUCUUAGUUGAUGAUUUGAUUCCCAUUAGGUAUUAUUUACAUAGAGUUAACCAUCCCAGAAUUCACUAUACACAUCGGUGACACAUGAAUAGAGUAGCAUAAUAGUGUGUGUGUACGAGUGUGGAAUGCCGAGUGAGAUGCUGUGCUUGAGUCAGGGGUAUACAGUGUGAUAUGCAUGUAUUAGGGGAUGUGAUUUUUUGAGUCAGAUGAGUAUUGCAAGAAGUUAUGAGGUUGAUACACUUGGACUUGCAGGAGCUAAGGGCAUUUUUCCUGGUGCUUGGUGUGUGUGUGUGUGCGUGUGUGGAAUCCUGUCUUUAUGCUGUGCUUGAGUCAGGGGUAUACAGUGUGAUUCUGCAUGUAUAAGGGGAUGUGAUGUUUUGAGUCAGAUGAGUAUUGCAAGAAGUUAUGAGGUUGAUACACUUGGACUUGCAGGAGCUAAGGGCAUUUUUCCUGGUGCUUGGUAUGUGUGUGUGUGCGUGUGUGAAAUGCUGUUUAUACUUUGCUUUCAAGAGUUAGAAGUAUAGUGUGAUUUUGCAUGUAUAAGGGAAUGAGAUUUUUCAAGUCACAUAGUUUGCAAGAAGUUAUGAGGUUGAUACACUUGGACUUGCAGGAGCUAAGGGCAUUGUUCCCGGUGCUUGGUGUGUGUGUGUGUGUGUGUGUGAAAUGCUGUUUAUACUUUGCUUUCAAGAGUUAGAAGUAUAGUGUGAUUUUGCAUUUAUAAGGGAAUGAGAUUUUUCAAGUCACAUAAGUUUGCAAGAAGUUAUGAGGUUGAUACACUUGGACUUGCAGGAGCUAAGGGCAUUUUUCCUGGUGCUUGGUAUGAGUGUGUGUGCAUGUGUGUGUGUGUGUGUGUGUGUGUGUGUGUGUGUGUUCUCACUGAUCUCAAGCAACAUCAGCCGGCUUCUGCACCAUCACUCUGCCUGCUUUUUAACUCCUCUCUCUCCCUCUGUGCCUCACCAUGCAACA